rnacentral:rRNA from 1 species
UACGAAGGGGGCUAGCGUUGCUCGGAAUUACUGGGCGUAAAGCGCACGUAGGCGGCUUCUUAAGUCGGUGGUGAAAUCCUGGAGCUCAACUCCAGAACUGCCUUCGAUACUGGGAAGCUCGAGUCCGGGAGAGGUGAGUGGAACUGCGAGUGUAGAGGUGAAAUUCGUAGAUAUUCGCAAGAACACCAGUGGCGAAGGCGGCUCACUGGACACGUAUUGACGCUGAGGUGCGAAAGCGUGGGGAGCAAACAGG